rnacentral:rRNA from 1 species
AUUGAACGCUGGCGGCAGGCCUAACACAUGCAAGUCGAACGAGUGGCGGACGGGUGAGUAAUGUCUGGGAAACUGCCUGAUGGAGGGGGAUAACUACUGGAAACGGUAGCUAAUACCGCAUACCAUCGGAUGUGCCCAGAUGGGAUAGCUAGUAGGUGGGGUAACGGCUCACCUAGGCGACGAUCCCUAGCUGGUCUGAGAGGACGACCAGCAACACGGGAGCGGAGACACGCACCAGACUCCUGCGAGAGGCAGCAGUGGAGAAUAUUGCACAAUGGGCGCAAGCCUGAUGCAGCCAUGCCGCGUGUAUGAAGAAGUCCUUCGGGUUGUAAAGUACUUUCAGCGGAGAGGCGUUACCCGCAGAAGAAGCACCGGCUAACUCCGUGCCAGCAGCCGCGGAUAC